AUGGCUCCUCAACCAGCUCACCAAGCUCAACCCUAUCAAGCGCAUCCCGGACCUCGCCGCCCUCGCGGACCAGCACGGCGAUGCCAUCCUCCCGGGGAUCGACGUUUUCGUCACCACUGUCGACCCCGUGGACGAACCCGUCCUCUACACUGUCAACACCGUCCUCUCCAUCCUCGCCGCCGACUACCCCAUCGACAAGUACGCCUGCUACCUCUCAGAUGA
rnacentral:rRNA from 1 species